GAACCGGCCAAACGUUAUUCGGAAUUAUUGGGCUUAAAGGGGUGCGUAGGCGGCGCGGUCAGUUGGGUGUGAAAUCCCUCGGCUCAACCGAGGAACUGCGCCCAAUACUGCCGUGCUCGAGGGAGACAGAGGCGAGCGGAACUGAUGGUGGAGCGGUGAAAUGCGUUGAUAUCAUCAGGAACACCAGUGGCGAAAGCGGCUCGCUGGGUCUCUUCUGACGCUGAGGCACGAAAGCUAGGGUAGCGAACAGGAUUAGAUACCCUGGUAGUCCUAGCUGUAAACGAUGAGCACUUGAUUGAGGACCCCCCCAUAGGUUCUCGGUCGAAGCGAAAGUGAUAAGUGCUCCGCCUGGGGAGUAUGGUCGCAAAGGCUGA
rnacentral:rRNA from 1 species